UCCCUUCAUAUGUUGGAUGUUGAUGUCUUGUAUGGAUGUCAUGAUUCUCUAAGACUUGGCAGCAAUGUAGCAGAUGGACAUAGAGAUGCAACAAGGCAGGAACAGCAAAGGGCAAGAGU
rnacentral:miRNA from 1 species